GGCCUGCAGGCGCUUCUCUUAAAGCCGCCCUUGUUAUCGUCCAAGGUUGCUCGCCUUAGCGUCUAGAUUGUCUUGUGCUUCUUCCCACAGAAAUUGCUCCAGGCCGUGAUUUACAGAAUGCUGUGUGUCAGCAAUUGGAAACCUGUGUGGGAUUUACUUGUGUCUGGCCUUUUAUCCUGAAUUCCUUCUGCAUUCACAUUCAGCUUCCACUAUUGCCGUUUUCAUCACCUUAUCGUUCUCUUUCUGUAUUUUCCUCAACUUUCCCUGUCUUUCUUUAUUGCAAUUUCUUUCUUCCUUAUCUCUUUAUGCUUCCCAUGCAGUCUUCUGUAAAUUAUAAAUAAAAUGUAUGGAUUUCACAUCUGAGGGUGAGGCACGCCACAUCUACAUGUUAGACAUCUACGUGGACUAGGAGACCAGACCCAGCUCUCAGCAGGAGAAACAAGCUCAUGCUGAAGGUGAUUGAUCUGAUGCUACAACAGGAAGACAAUUCUCUCACUUAUGGAGACUAUUUCUUUCCAUUGACUAUAAAGAGUGCUUUGCACCAGUAGUCCAGAAGUGGCUGUUUAAAAUUACAGAAUUAUAUGAGGUGUCCCCCCUGUGCUUGAACCUGACAUUGUGUAGAAAUGUCUUGAUGGGAAGCAGUGGAGAAACCUGUCUCCUUGUGCCCUUUUCUGGAUUUUGCAGUCAUAUGAAGAUGAGAAAGAGUGUGCACACUCUUUCUACUGUAUAAACAAACAUUAUUUCUCCACUUUUGGAAAGUAAUUGUUUUGAAACUACUGCUUUCUCUUGACCUUUCCUCUGUUACAGCCUACUUUCUCCUUACUGAUUGUGGGAAACAGAACUUCCACUGAUGGUUACAAAGCACUGAGAUAUGUUGUAAUCCCUCAGGAACCAUUCUUGGAGAGGACCAUUUCUAAUCAGGAAGAGGAAAUGCAACUGCCAGACAUAAGCGUUAUCCCUAACAGAAGAGUAAUCUUUCUGGCUGUUACGUUCCAGACCUUCUGCUUCGAGGUCAUCACCCAAAUGACCAUGCCUGAAAAUUAUCAUGUUUUCCCAGCAGCAUUGGGCCUCUUUCCCCUGAGCUCUAACUAACCCUCAUUUUGGGAGCUGAAAUGGGAUUUGGGUGGUACAUUCAAAAGUUCAGGUGUAUGGGUCCUGGUGCAACUCGGAGAGGCCAGGGGUCUGUGCAAGUGCAAAUCUUACUCUUCAGUAAUCCUGAAAAGGAAAGAAAGACUAUUUUCCUUGCAUCCUUGUUCUGUCCUCAAAUAAGAACACCAGAGGAGACCACAGAAAGCAUCAAGCCAUCCCAUGUCAUUUCUGCAACUGAAACAGAGGGGCAGCAUCAGGCAUUAUUUAGCAGCAAUGCUGGAAAGCACAUGUAAGAGGUGUGUGUAAUAGUCAGAUACUGAAUAGAUCCAGGGGCACUUUGAUAAAUUGAAAAAGGCAAGAAUUCCAUACUCAGAUAUUUUGUGGUAUUCAUGUGAACCCAGAAAACUCAUCUGUCUUUGCUAAAUAUUUGUAUGGCACAUGAUCUAGAAGGUUGGAAAGACAAAUUGAUGGCAUCAGUAUUAGCAGUCUUUUAAAAAAUGUUUCUGGGAAAGAAAAGGGAUUAAUGAACCAUCAUUUUGAAUACUCUUAAAUUUUGACUUUGUCUAGUACAGUUGUUCCAGAGCAAUUAUUUGCCCCCUGUUUUAAUUCAGCUGAGCUAAAGUAAACUCAUAUUUGAGACAGAAGAGAUGGGCAAUAUAAUUGUAUCUUUUUACAUCAGGCAUCACUCUCUAGCUAGUGUUUGGUCUCUUAUUAUCUUAAAAUUGGCAUUUUUUGUAGCAUUGUAGAAAGGAAAUGUUCAUAGUAUGAUUAUGAUAUUGAAGAUUAUAUAUGCUGAUAGCUUUGUGGAAGUUACACAUUUCAAUGUAUGGUAUAAAUGUUCUGGCAUUCAUGACUUCUCAGGUAAAAGUUUAUUCAUUACAAAGAGGAUGUGAAAGAGCAUGGUAGCAAUUUUUAAGCAUCUGUUGUGUGAAAAUUCUUACUGCAGAGAAAAUUACAGUUAUUCCCAAAAAAAGGCGUUCACAUGCAAGGUUAUUAAGAACAAGCUGGUGCUGUGUAAAUCCAUACAAAGACUUGCCAUUUAGUCAAUACUUGAACCAUCACUGUGCACACCAAACCUAUGCCAGUUGCUGCAUUAUCAGCAUCUUGAGCAAUUAAGUAAUCACUUUGUCACUGCUUGAGCUUAAAAAACUCUUCAUAAAGAUGAUUAUCAUUAUGUUGUAGAUAAACCACAUUUUUAUCCAUGUUAUGAAAAGGAAUAUUACAUAAGUAUAAAAUUGUACUAGAAUAAAUGCAUGUUGUUCCAG